GUUCAGUUGAUGAGUCUUAAAUAGGACGAAAUGUACGUCCUAGAU
rnacentral:hammerhead_ribozyme from 1 species